AAGAAAUAAAGGGCUUAUGGCGGAUCCCUAGGCACUCAGAGACGAUGAAAGGCGUGUAUACCGACGAAACGCUUCAGGGAGCUGGAAGAGUGCUAUGAUCUGAAGAUUCCUGAAUGGGUCAACCCAAAAAUCUCUUUUUGAAUUCAUAGAAAAGAGAAAGAGAACUUCGUGAACUGAAACAUCUUAGUAACGAAAGGAAAAGAAAGCAAAAGCGAUUCCCUUAGUAGCGGCGAGCGAAACGGGAACAGCCUAAACCUUUUAAUGAAUUAAUACUUUAUUGAGAGGGGUUACGGGAUAGAAUUACUAUAUAUUUGCUUAACCAUAAAAAUGAAAUAGUUGAAUCCUAUACCAUAGAUGGUGAAAGUCCAGUAAUUUUUUUUUGAUAUUUUCAAAAAGACAAAUAUGUACUCUACAUCCCAAGUAGCAUGAUAUACGUGGAAUCUCGUGUGAAUUUGCGAGGACCACCUCGUAAGGCUAAAUACUCCUGAGUGACCGAUAGCGAAGAAAGUACCGUGAGGGAAAGGUGAAAAGAACCCCAG
rnacentral:rRNA from 16 species